UUUCCUUUGUGACCGAUUUGUGUGUUUUUCAUAUGAUCUUGGUUUUGUGUUUUAUUGUGUCUUUGUUUUUAUUUAUGUGAUGUCAUUGGUGUGUUGAGAGUGGAAAGAAAGGAUGGUUAAAAUUCAGAAUUCUGUUCUGCUGUUCUUACAGUGUGGACCAUGGAGGAGAGAACAGGACCAAACCAGGACCCAGGAAAUAUGGCUGUCAGCUCACACUGGAUCCAAACACAGCGCACAGCGGGCUGUCUCUGUUUGAGGGGAACAGGAGGGUGACACACACAUGGGGGAGAAAGGAGCCAUAUCCUGAUCAUCCAGAGAGAUUUGAGCACUGGGAGCAGGUUGUGUGCAGAGAGAGUGUGUGUGAGCGCUGUUACUGGGAGGCUGAGUUCAGUCUGUCUGAGUGGGGGGGAAAGGUUUAUAUAGCAGUGACAUAUAAAGGAAUCAGCAGGAAAGGAGCAGGUAAUGACUGUAGGUUUGGAUUCAAUAAAAACUCCUGGAGUCUGGAGUGCAGUAAACACAGAGACUUUGAUAAACUCAGAUACUCUGUCUGGCACAAUGAGAACCAAACUGACAUACCUGUCCCCCCCUCCCCCUACCGCAGAGCAGGAGUGUGUGAUGAUGAUGAUGGUAGAGGAGUGUGUGUGUACAGGGUAGGAGUGUGUGUGGACCGUCCGGCCGGCACUCUGUCCUUCUACAGCGUCUCUGACUCUGACACACUGACCCUCCUGCACAGAUUCCACACACACUUCACUCAACACACACCCCUCUGUGCUGGAUUUACAUUGUGGAGAUCCUCAGUGUCCCUCUGCUAACUGGAGUAGACACACACAACACACACACUCAUACACAUACACUCACACAUACACACUCAGAUACACAGACACACACACCCACACCUACACACACACACUCUCACACACACCCUUUCUCUCUCAUACUCACACUCAUACACACGCACUCACACACCUACGCACACACACACUUGUGCGCACACACUCACACUCUCUCACACCCACUCACACACCCAAUCACACACAUGCGCACACACACACCUACACACAUGAACACACACAAUCUCUCGCACACACAAACCCACACAUUCACCACUACACUCUCACGCGCACACACGCAUGCAUGCAUGCAUACGUACACACGCUCAUAACCGUAUGCACACACACACACACCCUUUCUCUCACACACACACACACUCACAUCCACACACACACACAUACAUGCGUGCAGAGAUACAAACACGUGUCAACACACAUUCACAUUCCCAUAUGCAUGCACACAUGUAUAAACACACACACAUUCUCUUACCCAUGCACACACACACACACUGAUGUACACUCAUGCACACACACAUACACACUUUCUCACACCCAGUCACUCACACCCCCAAUCACACACAUGCACACACACCUACACACGGACACACACAAUCUCUCACACACACAAACACACACAUUCACCAGUGCACUCUUAAGCGCACACACACAUUCAUGCAUACGUACACACGCUCAUAACUGUAUGCACACACACACACCCUCUCUCUCUCUCACACACACACACUCACAUCCACACACACACACAUUCAUGCGUGCAGAGACACAAACACGUGUCAACACACACAUUCACAUUCUCUUACCCAUGCACACACACACACUCCUCAGUGUCCCUCUGCUAACUGGAGUAGAGACACACACACAUGCGCAUACACACUCGAACGCAUGCACACACACACACACACACUCAUAUACACAUACACACACACACUCAAUCACACACAUAUAAACACAAACACUUGUAUACACCUAGACCCUCACACACCCCCACACACACACACACACACACACACACACUCAUACACACACACACACACUUAUAUACACACACUCAUAUACACAUACACACACACACACAAUCACACACUCACAUAUAUAUAUACACACACUCAUAUGCACCUAGACCCACACACACACGCACUCACACACCUACACACACUCUUGCACACUCAAUCACACACCCUCUCUCUCUCACAUACACUCCAUCACACACACACACUCUCACACACACCCUUUCUCUCUCACACACACUUAUAUACACACACUCAUAUACACAUACACACACACACACUCAAUCACACACUCACAUAUAUAUAUACACACUCAUAUGCACCUAGACCCACACACACGCACUCACACACCUACACACACUCUCAGUCAUGCACACACGCUCACACACCUACGCACGCACACUCUCUCACACCCAGUCACUCACACACACCUACACACAGACACACACAAUCUCACGCACACACAUACACACGCAUGCAAACAUACACACGCUCAUACCCGUAUGCACACACACACACUCUUUCUCUCACUCACACUCUCACAUACAGUAUACAGACACACACAUUCGCAAACGCAUGCGCGCGCACACACACACUCACACACAAAACAACUGUGUCAACACACACACACAUUUUAUUACCUAUACGCACACACACACAUACUCAUGCACUCACACAUGUACACACAUGCAUACACUUACAUGCGUGCACACACCAUAUACACAUGUAUACACAAACAUUCUCAUACCCAUACAUACACACACACACACAUGUAUAAACACACGCACAUUCACAAAGGCACUCUCACGCACACACACAUACACAUGCAUACACUCAUUCUCUUGCACGCGCACACACUCAAAUACACAGUCUCACACACAUUCACACAAACGCACACACACACACUUUCUCUUACCCAUACACACACGCAACCCGGGCACACACACACACACACGCAUACUCACGCACUCACACACAUGUUCACAUCAACAGUCACUCCCACAAACACACGUACGCAUGCACACACACAUUCACAAAUGCACACACACAGAAACACUCUCACCCAAUCACACACACGCACACACGUCGACACACUUGCAACCUUCCUUGAGCAAAGCCUUACCACUGCAAUUUCAGCUGUGCCCAAUAUUAGCCUCAGUACUGCUUAAACCCUGUACAUAAGAGUAUGAUCUUUUAGCAGGUUCAGGUUAAGCACUCGCUCUCUAAAUAUGAUUUUAUUUUUUUACAUUUUGAUAAAUUUAUAUUGAAAAUGUUCAAGGUGUGUUUAUGUACUUUUGAUUAUUAAAACAUUCAUAUAACAUUGAGAGUAAUAAUGCCAGAAGAUGGCAGAGUGAAAUGUUUUUGAAGUAAUAAUUCUGUCUCCUGUAUCUGCAUCUUUUUAAAAAAGAAGCCAGUGGCAAACUCCUCCAUGUGCAUUUUGCUAGUUUUUACAGUUUCUUUCAUACAUACAGUGUUCCAAUGUGCAAAUUUCUGUGGGCAAAUGCAGCUGAUGCAUCCCAUGAGAAUGCAGAAUGGUCACUGCAGUGUACUUACUUCCUUUCAUUACUGUAAACAAUGAUGGAUUGAGUUUCCUUAUUUAUUCUGUUAGGAUUGAUUUUUUUUUUUUGUUGCUUUAAUUUUCUGUAUUUUCAGACAAUAAUAUGCAAUGAUUAAACCUGAAUUAUAAAAAUAUCAAAUGUUUUGCUGUUGUGAUUUAUUAUUGUGUGAUGUAUUGAACUCCUGUGACACUGGUACUUAUUACAUAUUCUGUAUGGGAUUAUGUUUGGACUCAGUAUGAGUGGAUCAGCAUGGGGCUAAAAUCAGUUAAUCAAUGCAGUUGAAGCAAGGACAUUCAUCUACAGUAGUGGAAAUAAAAUCUGUUAUAAGAAACGUUGUGUAGUGUCUGAUGAAUGCUUGCUUCUGUUACUGUAGUGUAACCACAACUCAAUACAUUUUGAAAAGUCACUGCUUGUCUAUUGAACUGGUAUAUUUAUGUUACCUCUGAAAUAAAUGGUUUUCCUGUA